rnacentral:sRNA from 1 species
GCCGCCGUCGCGCACCAGCCAUGGCGCAAAUCCUCCCUAUUCGCUUUCAGGAGCACUUCCAGCUCCAAAACCUUGGAAUUAAUCCAGCUAACGUUGGAUUCAGCACACUGACCAUGGAAUCUGACAAGUUCAUAUGUAUCCGAGAGAAAGUUGGUGAGCAGGCACAGGUCACGAUCAUUGACAUGAGUGACCCAAUGGCUCCGAUCCGACGGCCUAUCUCUGCAGAGAGUGCCAUCAUGAAUCCAGCCUCUAAGGUGAUAGCUCUGAAAGCUGGGAAGACACUUCAGAUCUUUAAUAUUGAGAUGAAGAGUAAAAUGAAGGCUCAUACUAUGGCAGAAGAGGUGAUUUUCUGGAAAUGGGUUUCUGUGAACACUGUUGCCUUGGUGACCGAGACCGCGGUCUACCACUGGAGCAUGGAAGGUGACUCCCAGCCCAUGAAGAUGUUUGACAGACAUACCAGUCUGGCGGGCUGCCAGGUGAUUCACUACCGGACUGAUGAGUACCAGAAGUGGCUGCUCCUCGUAGGCAUCUCGGCUCAGCAAAACCGUGUGGUUGGAGCAAUGCAGCUCUACUCUGUGGAUAGGAAGGUUUCACAACCCAUAGAAGGCCAUGCCGCGGCUUUUGCAGAGUUCAAGAUGGAGGGGAAUGCCAAGCCUGCCACCCUUUUCUGCUUUGCUGUACGUAAUCCCACAGGAGGCAAGUUGCACAUCAUUGAAGUUGGACAGCCUGCAGCGGGAAACCAACCUUUUGUAAGGAAAGCAGUAGAUGUGUUUUUUCCUCCAGAGGCACAGAAUGAUUUUCCAGUGGCUAUGCAGAUUGGAGCUAAACAUGGUGUUAUUUACUUGAUCACAAAGUAUGGCUAUCUUCAUCUGUAUGACCUAGAGUCUGGCGUGUGCAUCUACAUGAACCGUAUUAGUGCUGACACAAUAUUUGUCACUGCUCCACACAAACCAACCUCUGGAAUUAUUGGUGUCAACAAAAAGGGACAGGUGCUGUCAGUUUGUGUUGAGGAAGAUAACAUUGUGAAUUAUGCAACCAACGUGCUUCAGAAUCCAGACCUUGGUCUGCGUUUGGCCGUUCGUAGUAACCUGGCUGGGGCAGAGAAGUUGUUUGUGAGAAAAUUCAAUACCCUCUUUGCACAGGGCAGCUAUGCUGAAGCCGCCAAAGUUGCAGCGUCUGCACCAAAGGGAAUCCUGCGUACCAGAGAGACGGUCCAGAAAUUCCAGAGUAUACCCGCUCAGUCUGGCCAGGCUUCUCCAUUGCUGCAGUACUUUGGAAUCCUGCUCGACCAGGGUCAGCUCAAUAAACUUGAAUCCUUAGAACUUUGCCACCUGGUUCUUCAGCAGGGGCGUAAGCAACUCCUAGAGAAGUGGCUGAAAGAAGAUAAGCUGGAGUGCUCAGAGGAGCUCGGAGACUUGGUCAAAACCACUGACCCCAUGCUCGCUCUGAGUGUGUACCUUCGGGCAAACGUGCCAAGCAAAGUGAUCCAGUGUUUUGCAGAAACAGGCCAAUUCCAGAAAAUUGUGCUCUAUGCCAAAAAGGUUGGGUACACCCCAGACUGGAUCUUUCUGCUGAGGGAUGUAAUGAAGAUCAGUCCGGAACAGGGCCUGCAGUUUUCUCAAAUGCUAGUGCAGGACGAGGAGCCGCUGGCCAACAUUAGCCAGAUUGUGGACAUUUUCAUGGAAAACAGUUUAAUUCAGCAGUGUACUUCCUUCUUAUUGGAUGCCUUGAAGAAUAAUCGCCCAACUGAGGGACUCCUCCAGACAUGGCUGUUGGAGAUGAACCUUGUUCAUGCACCCCAGGUUGCAGAUGCCAUCCUUGGAAAUAAAAUGUUUACUCAUUACGACCGGGCCCACAUUGCCCAGCUCUGUGAGAAGGCAGGCCUCCUGCAGCAAGCACUGGAGCACUACACUGACCUCUAUGACAUCAAGAGGGCUGUGGUCCACACUCACCUCCUCAAUCCCGAGUGGCUUGUCAAUUUCUUUGGCUCCUUAUCGGUGGAGGAUUCUGUGGAGUGUCUGCAUGCCAUGCUGUCUGCUAACAUCAGACAGAACCUUCAGCUGUGUGUGCAGGUGGCCUCUAAGUACCAUGAGCAGCUGGGCACGCAGGCCCUGGUGGAGCUCUUUGAAUCCUUCAAGAGUUAUGAAGGCCUCUUCUACUUCCUGGGCUCAAUUGUGAACUUCAGCCAAGACCCAGAUGUGCAUCUGAAAUACAUUCAGGCUGCCUGUAAGACAGGGCAGAUCAAGGAGGUGGAGAGGAUAUGCCGAGAGAGCAGCUGCUACAACCCAGAGCGUGUGAAGAACUUCCUGAAGGAGGCCAAGCUCACAGACCAGCUUCCCCUCAUCAUCGUGUGUGAUCGUUUUGGCUUUGUCCAUGACCUUGUCCUGUAUUUAUACCGCAACAACCUGCAGAGGUACAUUGAGAUCUACGUGCAGAAGGUCAACCCUAGCCGGACCCCAGCUGUGACUGGAGGGCUGCUUGAUGUGGAUUGCUCUGAGGAAGUGAUUAAACACUUAAUCAUGGCAGUGAGAGGACAGUUCUCUACUGAUGAGUUGGUGGCUGAAGUAGAAAAAAGAAAUAGGCUCAAGCUGCUGCUUCCCUGGCUGGAGUCCCGGAUUCAGGAAGGCUGUGAGGAGCCUGCCACUCAUAAUGCACUGGCUAAAAUCUACAUCGACAGCAACAACAGCCCCGAGUGCUUCCUGAGACAGAAUGCCUACUAUGACAGCAGCGUGGUGGGCCGCUACUGUGAGAAACGAGACCCCCAUCUGGCCUGUGUCGCCUAUGAGCGGGGGCAGUGUGACCUUGAGCUCCUCAAGGUGUGCAAUGAGAAUUCUCUGUUCAAAAGCGAGGCCCGCUACCUGGUACGCAGAAAGGAUCCGGAGCUCUGGGCUUACGUCCUUGAGGAGACCAACCCAUCUAGGAGACAGCUAAUUGACCAGGUGGUACAGACAGCAUUGUCAGAAACACGAGAUCCUGAAGAGAUUUCGGUCACUGUCAAAGCCUUUAUGACAGCCGACCUGCCUAAUGAACUGAUUGAACUGCUGGAGAAGAUAGUUCUGGAUAACUCUGUCUUCAGCGAGCACAGGAAUCUACAGAAUCUGUUGAUCCUGACUGCCAUCAAGGCAGACUGCACACGGGUCAUGGAGUACAUCAGCCGCCUGGACAACUAUGACGCACUGGACAUCGCGAGCAUCGCUGUCAGCAGCACGCUGUAUGAGGAGGCCUUCACCGUCUUCCACAAGUUUGAUAUGAAUGCCUCAGCAAUCCAGGUCCUGAUCGAGCACAUUGGAAACCUGGACCGGGCAUAUGAGUUUGCGGAGAGAUGCAAUGAGCCUGCUGUGUGGAGUCAGCUGGCCCAAGCCCAGCUCCAGAAAGAUUUGGUGAAGGAAGCCAUCGACUCCUAUGUCAGAGGGGACGACCCUUCCUCUUACCUGGAAGUUGUUCAGGCAGCCAGCAGGAGCAACAACUGGGAGGAUCUAGUUAAAUUUCUGCAGAUGGCCAGGAAAAAGGGCCGUGAGUCCUAUAUAGAGACUGAACUUAUUUUUGCCUUGGCUAAAACCAGCCGUCUUUCUGAGCUAGAAGAUUUUAUUAAUGGACCCAACAAUGCCCACAUCCAGCAGGUUGGAGACCGCUGUUACGAGGAGGGAAUGUACGAGGCUGCCAAGCUGCUCUAUAGCAAUGUUUCUAACUUUGCCCGCCUGGCUUCCACCUUGGUUCACCUCGGUGAGUAUCAGGCAGCAGUGGACAACAGCCGCAAGGCCAGCAGCACCCGGACGUGGAAGGAGGUGUGCUUUGCCUGCGUGGAUGGACAGGAGUUCCGCUUUGCACAGCUGUGUGGUCUUCACAUCGUCAUUCAUGCAGAUGAGCUGGAGGAGCUGAUGUGCUAUUACCAGGAUCGUGGCUACUUUGAGGAGCUGAUCUCGCUGUUGGAGGUGACCCUGGGCCUGGAGCGGGCCCAUAUGGGCAUGUUCACAGAGCUGGCCAUCCUCUACUCCAAAUUCAAGCCACAGAAGAUGCUGGAGCAUCUGGAGCUUUUCUGGUCCCGUGUCAACAUCCCAAAGGUACCGUGUGCUCCUUGCAGUCUGGCAGCUGUGGCCACGUGCAGCACAAGCCGACCCUGGCCUCUUUUUCCAGGUGCUGAGGGCUGCAGAGCAGGCACACCUGUGGGCUGAGCUGGUGUUCCUCUAUGACAAGUACAAGGAGUACGACAAUGCUGUGCUCACCAUGAUGAGCCACCCCACUGAGGCUUGGAAGGAGGGUCAGUUCAAGGACAUCAUUACCAAGGUUGCCAACGUCGAGCUCUGUUACAGAGCCCUGCAGUUCUAUUUGGAUUACAAACCACUGCUCAUCAAUGACCUGCUGCUGGUGCUGUCACCCCGGCUGGACCACACCCGGACAGUCAGUUUCUUUUCAAAGGCAGGUCAGCUGCCCCUGGUGAAGCCUUACCUGCGGUCAGUCCAGAGCCACAACAACAAGAGUGUGAAUGAGGCACUCAACCACCUGCUGACAGAGGAGGAGGACUAUCAGGGCUUAAGGGCAUCUAUCGAUGCCUAUGACAACUUUGACAACAUCAGCCUGGCUCAGCGGCUGGAGAAGCAUCAGCUGAUGGAGUUCAGGCGCAUUGCGGCCUAUUUGUACAAGGGCAAUAACUGGUGGGCCCAGAGCGUGGAGCUCUGCAAGAAGGAUCAUCUCUACAAGGAUGCCAUGCAGCAUGCCGCAGAGUCGCGGGAUGCCGAGCUGGCCCAGAAGUUGCUGCAGUGGUUCCUGGAGGAAGGCAAGAGGGAGUGCUUCGCAGCCUGUCUCUUCACCUGCUAUGACCUGCUUCGCCCAGACAUGGUGCUUGAGCUGGCUUGGAGGCACAACCUCGUGGACUUGGCCAUGCCCUACUUCAUUCAGGUGAUGAGGGAGUACCUGAGCAAGGUGGACAAACUGGAUGCCUUGGAGAGUCUGCGCAAGCAAGAGGAGCAUGUGACAGAGCCUGCCCCUCUCAUGUU